ACACUCCUGCGGGAGGCAGCAGUAGGGAAUCUUCGGCAAUGGGGGCAACCCUGACCGAGCAACGCCGCGUGAGUGAAGAAGGUUUUCGGAUCGUAAAGCUCUGUUGUAAGUCAAGAACGAGUGUGAGAGUGGAAAGUUCACACUGUGACGGUAGCUUACCAGAAAGGGACGGCUAACUACGUGCCAGCAGCCGCGGUAAUACGUAGGUCCCGAGCGUUGUCCGGAUUUAUUGGGCGUAAAGCGAGCGCAGGCGGUUUGAUAAGUCUGAAGUUAAAGGCUGUGGCUCAACCAUAGUUCGCUUUGGAAACUGUCAAACUUGAGUGCAGAAGGGGAGAGUGGAAUUCCAUGUGUAGCGGUGAAAUGCGUAGAUAUAUGGAGGAACACCGGUGGCGAAAGCGGCUCUCUGGUCUGUAACUGACGCUGAGGCUCGAAAGCGUGGGGAGCGAACAGGAUUAGAUACCCCAGUAGUCCCA
rnacentral:rRNA from 1 species